CAUGUAACACAAUUGAAAGUGUUUCACAGUAAAACAUACUGAAACAAUGCAGUUUAAAACCUGCUAGCAGGUGAACAGUAUGAAAAUCUGGAAGCCCCAUAUCAGCUUGGAUCAGCUGCAUAUUAAAUAUCGGAAACAGUGAGGCAAGUGUUACUCUGAAUACCGGUAUUUCAUUGGAAUUAUUUCGGUAUGUUGUAAAACCUUAAUGUUACAGAAAAUGCAGAAAUAAUUAAGAUCUCUAGAGAUUAAUAUAGUGAUUAUAUUCUGACUCAAAAAUACUGUGACAUGCUGUACCAAUGAACUAUGUGGACAGAGGUUUCAUCUAUCUUCAUUGUUUUGCUCAACAUCGAACGUUUCCUAUUGACAAAUGGUGCGAUACAAGUACAGGUUGCAAAUCUAAAGGAGGCUGGCGAAAGGUCUCAGUACCAAACUAAAAAUAAAUCUGAAAGACAGAAAACUAUUGAUGAUCUUCUAACAGACUACGAUCCACGAAUACCACCAAAUUAUGAAGACGGUAAAUUUAUACAUGCUUUGUUCUUUUUCUUCAAAUAUAGUAAUAAUUUCAACACAAAAGUCUGGUCGCUUUAUAGAUAUUAAUCUGAGUUUUGAUUCAUCUCAUUUCUAUCUCUGUACAUUAUUGUACGUCAUGUUUUAUUGAUAAAUUGCGUAUAAUUACUAUUCAUCUAAUUAGAAAAUAAAACUUUCUUUUCACAACGCGCCGUUUGCAAGACAAUUCGUGACAAUUCAUGUCAAAAAUUCCUCACCAAGCGUGUCUUCCAGAAACAAGCAGCAUAGCUAUUUGCAUCGAAGAUAUCAUCAGUACCUGAAACAUUACAAAUGUGUUAAUGUAGGCCGGAUUAUUUGGCUUUGUUAAUUAAAUAUGAAAUUGCCAGGAAUCAAAUCUGUGAAAUAUGUUAUAGUAAUUAACUUUUAUAGAUUCAAUUUAGCAGCUGAUGUACGGAAGUUGAAAAAAACAACAAAUAAACUGGGAGAAAAUGUUAUUUUGUAACCAAUUAAUUAUUGUAUUAUCAAGUAUAUUAAUCGAAUGCCCCGAGUGAAAAGCAAUCUGUUGUUGUUAAACAGCAGUCUGAAGGACAAGCAAACACUGUUAAUUUCAGUAGUAAUUGCA